AUUUAGGUAGCUUAACUUAAAGCAUAUCUCUGAAGAAGAUAAAAUGAUAAUUAUCCCUAAAUA
rnacentral:tRNA from 1 species